rnacentral:rRNA from 1 species
ACGAACGCUGGCGGCGUGCUUAACACAUGCAAGUCGAGCGGUAAGGCCCUUUCGGGGGUACACGAGCGGCGAACGGGUGAGUAACACGUGGGUGACCUGCCCUCAGCUCUGGGAUAAGCCUGGGAAACCGGGUCUAAUACCGGAUAUGACCUCCUGUCGCAUGGCGGGUGGUGGAAAGUUUUUUCGGCUGAGGAUGGGCCCGCGGCCUAUCAGCUUGUUGGUGGGGUGAUGGCCUACCAAGGCGACGACGGGUAGCCGGCCUGAGAGGGCGACCGGCCACACUGGGACUGAGACACGGCCCAGACUCCUACGGGAGGCAGCAGUGGGGAAGAUUGCGCAAUGGGCGAAAGCCUGACGCAGCGACGCCGCGUGGGGGAUGACGGCCUUCGGGUUGUAAACCUCUGUCGCCAUCGACGAAGCCCUUCGGGGUGACGGUAGGGGGAGAAGAAGCACCGGCCAACUACGU